AUUGAACGCUGGCGGAAUGCUUUACACAUGCAAGUCGAACGGUAGAGGGGGCAACCCCUCGAGAGUGGCGAACGGGUGAGUAAUAUAUCGGAACGUGCCCAGUCGUGGGGGAUAACGUAGCGAAAGUUACGCUAAUACCGCAUACGAUCUAAGGAUGAAAGCGGGGGAUCGCAAGACCUCGCGCGAUUGGAGCGGCCGAUAGCAGAUUAGGUAGUUGGUGGGGUAAAGGCUCACCAAGCCAACGACCUGUAGCUGGUCUGAGAGGACGACAAGCCACACUGGAACUGAGACACGGGCCAGACUCCUACGGGAGGCAGCAGUGGGGAAUUUUGGACAAUGGACGCAAGUCUGAUCCAGCCAUUCCGCGUGCAGGAUGAAGGCCCUCGGGUUGUAAACUGCUUUUGUACGGAACGAAAAGGUCUCUCUUAAUACGGGGGGCUCAUGACGGUACCGUAAGAAUAAGCACCGGCUAACUACGUGCCAGCAGCCGCCGUAA
rnacentral:rRNA from 1 species